AAGCCCUGGAGGCUCAGGUUCUCCUGUUGGGUCCUGUGGUCUUGCAUUGCUUUGCUGCUUAGUCACUCAGUCGUGUUCAAUCAUUUACAACCCCAAGGACUGUCGCCUGCCAGGCUCCUCAGUCCAUGGGCUUCUCCAGGCAAGAACACUGGAGUGGGUUGCCGUUUUCUCCUCCAGGGAAUCUUCCUGACCCUGGGACUGAACCUGCAUCUCCUGUGGCUCCUGCAUUGCAGGAAGAGUUCCCAUGUACAGGAACAGACUGACCGUCCCCAUGUAAUCCACAUUUCAAUACUGCAUCUUGUCAGCACAAAGGAAUGAAUCCCUAAUGGGGAUCUUCCCAACUCAGGGAUCAAACCCAUGUCUCUUGUGUCUCCUGCAUUGGCAGUCAUUGAGCCGCCAGGGAAGCCUACGUGUAUGGCCCUGAAACAAUUUGCUUAAAGUGAUAGUUACCUCUAAUGAAAAGAUACAUAACGGAAAAUGUCAGCAACCUUUUAAAUCCUCCACAACUUAUCAUGAAGACCGUCUUGUGCAAAGUGCUCGUGGUGAAGCAACUUCUUUUGUCUCCGAUUCCUCCUAAAUUAGGUGGAUUCUUUACCAGCUGACCUACCAUGGAGAGAAAUUGCAGCUUGCCCUCCGUCUCCUAUUGCUGAUGAUCCUUCAGUUCUACCAUCUCCCGGUUCCUGUCCCUCCUCUAGUCUGUAACUCUUCUUGCCUGUUCAGCCCCUUAUUACCAGCAGUUGUACUGUACUACUGUACUUUUCAGGGUACUGUACGAUUAAAAUGUUUUAAUUUUUUGUUCAUUUUAAUGUAUUAUUUGCAUGAAAAGCAUUGUACACCUAUUACAGAACAGUACUAUAUAGCCACUUGUGUUAGUUGGGAACCCAGGCUAAGUUUGUUGGACUUAAUGAUCAAACCAGACUCACUAACCCUCUCUCUGAAUGGAACUCUUUCAUAUGUAGGGGACUCACUGUAUUUGCAAAGAUAUGGGCAGG
ensembl:lncRNA